AGAGUUUGAUCAUGGCUCAGGACGUACGCUGGCGGCGUGCCUAAUACAUGCAAGUCGUACGCUUCUUUUUCCACCGGAGCUUGCUCCACCGGAAAAAGAAGAGUGGCGAACGGGUGAGUAACACGUGGGUAACCUGCCCAUCAGAAGGGGAUAACACUUGGAAACAGGUGCUAAUACCGUAUAACAAUCGAAACCGCAUGGUUUUGAUUUGAAAGGCGCUUUCGGGUGUCGCUGAUAGAUGGACCCGCGGUGCAUUAGCUAGUUGGUGAGGUAACGGCUCACCAAGGCCACGAUGCAUAGCCGACCUGAGAGGGUGAUCGGCCACAUUGGGACUGAGACACGGCCCAAACUCCUACGGGAGGCAGCAGUAGGGAAUCUUCGGCAAUGGACGAAAGUCUGACCGAGCAACGCCGCGUGAGUGAAGAAGGUUUUCGGAUCGUAAAACUCUGUUGUUAGAGAAGAAUAAGGAUGAGAGUAACUGUUCAUCCCUUGACGGUAUCUAACCAGAAAGCCACGGCUAACUACGUGCCAGCAGCCGCGGUAAUACGUAGGUGGCAAGCGUUGUCCGGAUUUAUUGGGCGUAAAGCGAGCGCAGGCGGUUUCUUAAGUCUGAUGUGAAAGCCCCCGGCUCAACCGGGGAGGGUCAUUGGAAACUGGGAGACUUGAGUGCAGAAGAGGAGAGUGGAAUUCCAUGUGUAGCGGUGAAAUGCGUAGAUAUAUGGAGGAACACCAGUGGCGAAGGCGGCUCUCUGGUCUGUAACUGACGCUGAGGCUCGAAAGCGUGGGGAGCAAACAGGAUUAGAUACCCUGGUAGUCCACGCCGUAAACGAUGAGUGCUAAGUGUUGGAGGGUUUCCGC
rnacentral:rRNA from 1 species